rnacentral:misc_RNA from 1 species
GUCAAAUUAUGUUGCAUUAUGCAUUCAUCUUUACUUCCAUCUGAUGGAUUCUUUUAUUAGUGUGUUGGUUUUCUAAUGUUUGUUCUAAUUCAUAUGAUGAUGACUGACUCUUAGCUAUAUAUUUUUCAAGACUAACAGCCAUAUGACCUUUCUUGAAUCAAAGCCAAUCAUAAAAUGCCAAGGGAAUAGUUCUAUUUGAAAUAUGGUUGUCUAGUACAAUAAAGUUUUU